CCUACGGGUGACAGCAGUGGGGAAUUUUGCGCAAUGCUCGUAAGAGUGACGCAGCGACGCCGCGUGAAUGACGACGGCCUUCGGGUCGUAAAGUUCUUUCGACAGGGAAGAAAAUGCCUAUAAGCAACUCUGUCUGUAUUGAUCGUACCUGUAUAAGCAGCCCCGGCUAACUCCGUGCCAGCAGCCGCGGUAAUACGGAGGGGCCGAGCGUUGUUCGGAGUGACUGGGCUUAAAGAGCACGUAGGCGGUGUUGUAAGUGAUUAGUCAAAGACUAGAGCUCAACUUUAGUAAGGCUAGUGAUACUGUAAGACUAGAGUAUCAGAGAGGAUUGCAGAAUGCCUGGUGUAGCGGUGAAAUGCGUAGAUAUCAGGAGGAAUACCGUUAGCGAAGGCAGCAAUCUGGCUGGAAACUGACGCUGAGGUGCGAAAGCGUGGGUAGCAAACAGGAUUAGAUACCCGUGUAGUC
rnacentral:rRNA from 1 species